rnacentral:misc_RNA from 1 species
AUAACCCCAGCUAAUAAUUCCCAACUCCCAUCAGAUUUCACUAUCGACAACAGAGGAUGGCAGAGAAACUUCCCUGGCGAGAAAGAAAAACAAGAAGGGAGCAGAAGGGAGGAAUGAAACCCUGGUAAGUGCUUUUGUGUGGACUGUGGAGACAGAGAGACACCAUGAGGUGAAGCCUUGGUAUGGUGGUAGUCGAAAUGGUAUGACAGAGAGUCCAUGCAUGGCGGCUGAUGAAGACGUCAAGGUGAGGCAAGGUUAACGCACAACGAGAAGGUUGACAGUUGAGAAUCAAAACAGAGAUUGGAACUGGAGGCUGGGAGUUUAGAAUCGAAACUCCAAAGCCCUGAGAGAAAGGGAUAAAGGAGAAAGGG